rnacentral:rRNA from 1 species
GACGAACGCUGGCGGCGUGCUUAACACAUGCAAGUCGAACGAAGAGCGAUGGAAGCUUGCUUCUAUCAAUCUUAGUGGCGCACGGGUGAGUAACGCGUAAUCAACCUGCCCUUCAGAGGGGGACAACAGUUGGAAACGACUGCUAAUACCGCAUACGAUCUAAUCUCGGCAUCGAGGAUAGAUGAAAGGUGGCCUCUACAUGUAAGCUAUCACUGAAGGAGGGGAUUGCGUCUGAUUAGCUAGCUGGGGGGGUAACGGCCCACCAAGGCGAUGAUCAGUAGCCGGUCUGAGAGGAUGGACGGCCACAUUGGGACUGGGACACGGCCCAGACUCCUACGGGAGGCAGCAGUGGGGAAUCUUCCGCAAUGGACGAAAGUCUGACGAAGCAACGCCGCGUGAGUGAUGACGGCCUUCGGGUUGUAAAGCUCUGUUAAUCGGGACGAAAGGCCUUCUUGCGAAUAGUGAGAAGGAUUGACGGUACCGGAAUAGAAAGCCACGGCUAACUACGUG